GGCGGGCUUGCGCCGGGGGCCUUCGCCACCGCCUCGGAGGCGGUGGCGAAGCGGGAGUCGAGGGUGUCCCCCGGCUCGCCGCCCGGGCCCGCCG
rnacentral:tRNA from 1 species